UUGAUACGAAAUUGCAUUCUAUUCACUGCACCAUUUAUAUCAAUGAAUGAAGUGGAGGGGAAAAGAAUGCUAGAUCAAAGAAACAAUCGAAGAACUCCUCAUACUAAGUUUACUCUUUUAUUUAUAUAUAUAGCAUUCUUGGAUUCUGGUUUUUCGAUAUAUCU
rnacentral:snoRNA from 1 species